UACGUAGGGGGCAAGCGUUGUCCGGAAUUAUUGGGCGUAAAGAGCGUGUAGGCGGUCCGGUAAGUCAGCUGUGAAAGUCAAGGGCUCAACCCUUGAAUGCCGGUUGAUACUGUCGGGCUAGAGGGUGGUAGAGGCGAGUGGAAUUCCCGGUGUAGCGGUGAAAUGCGCAGAUAUCGGGAGGAACACCAAUGGCGAAGGCAGCUCGCUGGGACGGUACUGACGCUGAGACGCGAAAGCGUGGGGAGCAAACA
rnacentral:rRNA from 1 species